rnacentral:rRNA from 1 species
CUACCUAUCAGAGGGAAUAACCCGGCGAAAGUCGGACUAAUACCGCAUAAAACAGGGGCACCGCAUGGUGAUAUUUGUUAAAGAAAUUCGCUGAUAGAUGGGCAUGCGUUCCAUUAGGGUAGUUGGUGAGGUAACGGCUCACCAAGCCGACGAUGGAUAGGGGAACUGAGAGGUUGGUCCCCCACACUGGUACUGAGACACGGACCAGACUCCUACGGGAGGCAGCAGUGAGGAAUAUUGGUCAAUGGGCGGGAGCCUGAACCAGCCAAGUCGCGUGAAGGAAGAAGGAUCUAUGGUUCGUAAACUUCUUUUGCAGGGGAAUAAAGUGCAGGACGUGUCCUGUUUUGUAUGUACCCUGAGAAUAAGGAUCGGCUAACUCCGUGCCAGCCGCAGC